GCUUGUGCUGUCUUCGUCCA
rnacentral:misc_RNA from 1 species